rnacentral:tRNA from 1 species
GUUGACCUAGUAUAUCAAGUAUGUGUGACUUCCAAUCACGAGGACCAUUAAGACGUGGGGUGAACA